AUUGAACGCUGACGGCAUGCCUUACACAUGCAAGUCGAACGGUAACAGGUCUUCGGAUGCUGACGAGUGGCGAACGGGUGAGUAAUACAUCGGAACGUGCCCGAUCGUGGGGGAUAACGGAGCGAAAGCUUUGCUAAUACCGCAUACGAUCUACGGAUGAAAGCAGGGGACCGCAAGGCCUUGCGCGGACGGAGCGGCCGAUGGCAGAUUAGGUAGUUGGUGGGAUAAAAGCUUACCAAGCCGACGAUCUGUAGCUGGUCUGAGAGGACGACCAGCCACACUGGGACUGAGACACGGCCCAGACUCCUACGGGAGGCAGCAGUGGGGAAUUUUGGACAAUGGGCGCAAGCCUGAUCCAGCCAUGCCGCGUGCAGGAUGAAGGCCUUCGGGUUGUAAACUGCUUUUGUACGGAACGAAAAGACUCUUUCUAAUAAAGAGGGUCCAUGACGGUACCGUAAGAAUAAGCACCGGCUAACUACGUGCCAGCCGCCGCAGUAA
rnacentral:rRNA from 1 species